rnacentral:lncRNA from 1 species
GGCGGCUAGGAAGGCCCGCGGGGAAUCCGGGGCGGUCCCGCCAGUCGGGCCUGGAUCCGCGUUGGCCCGCGGGCUCGGGUGAGCCCGCUCAAACGCCCCGGGAGCCACCGCCGCCUCCUCAGCGCCAGUCCUCAGCGCUGAAAAGACUCUUCCCUUCGUCGCCCAACCGCCCCUUCAGUAGGGACCGCCCCUCUUUUUGACACUGUCCAAUCCACAGUGGGCGCUUUCGUCCUCCCCGCCCUCGCCACCAAAGGAUCGUUCUCCAGGGCCAACAGUCGUACAAAAAGCCGGUGUAGGUAUGUCCGGCCAGAGGUAGACGGCCCGCGGGGCCAAUCGGAGUGCAGGCAGGGCAGCAGGCCCCGCCUCCGAAACAACAGAAAGCACUUGACAGGCUUGCUCUCCAAUGAGAAGCCCCGGAAAAGUGUCGCGCGGAGGCGGAGCCACGCGGUACAGCCACCUCUGCGCCUGCUCAAAGGCCCUGGACACUUGGAGUCUAGACACCCGAGUUCAGAGCCAGCCUCCAAGAGUAUCUUACAUCCCAGCGUCUCCUGGAAGGCCGUAUGAUCCAGCACUGGGGAGAGGAGGGAAAUCCCCAGGACUCGAAUGCCCAUCCCACCCUUGGUGUAGUGAGGACUCAUCCUGCUGGAAAGGCCCCUGAAGAACUUCAAGUUCCAAUAUCCCGUUUUUACAGAUGGGGAAACUGACAUGAAGAGGAGUCCAAAGUGACACAGUCAGGCCAGAAAUGUUGCUUCUGAAGUCCUGAGUCCACCUCCUAGCACUGCCAAGCAGUCCACCUGGAGGUGAUGAGAACUUCCAGGCUUUGGUAAUGGACAACUCUGUAUCCCUGGAGCCUUCAUUCCUUUUGGCAUUACAGAACCACAAGAAGUCAUCUAGAAUCAUUGAGAUUCUCAACUCCAUUGGGCAAACUGGAACCAGCAAAAUCUCAGAUAUCUAGAAUUGCCACUGCUUCCUUGACUCUGUGAUCAGUCUACAGCCACAGAAUCCUGAUUCCCUUUGGACAUUCUAGAAUGGCACUUUAAAAAAAAACAACCCACCCAGUGGAUCCUUUCAAAGCACUGCUUAUUCUCUUGGCUGGGUGCUCUACAGCCAGAAGUUGGAGUUAUCUAAUAUCAAGAACUCUUAAUCUGUCACUUCAGUCUUUCUAAACCCACAGACUAACAAUGUUUUGUGCAUUCUA